UGCUUAACACAUGCAAGUCGACUGGAAUUCUUCUUCGGAAGAUAGUACGGUGGCGGACGGGUGAGUAACGCGUAAAGAAUUUGCCCUUCAGACUGGGACAACUAAUCGAAAGGUUAGCUAAUACCGGAUAUUAUGAGACCUUGGCAUCAAGGACUUAUGAAAGCUAUAUGCGCUGGAGGAGAACUUUGCGUUCCAUUAGCUAGUUGGUAGGGUAAUGGCCUACCAAGGCAACGAUGGAUAGCCGGCCUGAGAGGGUGAACGGCCACAAGGGGACUGAGACACGGCCCUUACUCCUACGGGAGGCAGCAGUGGGGAAUAUUGGACAAUGGACCAAAAGUCUGAUCCAGCAAUUCUGUGUGCACGAUGAAGGUCUUCGGAUUGUAAAGUGCUUUCAGGUGGGAAGAAGAAAGUGACGGUACCACCAGAAGAAGCGACGGCUAAAUACGUGCCAGCAGCCGCGGUA
rnacentral:rRNA from 1 species